UGAAUUCUUUCAAUGCAAAUGGAAAUUGCAGAGAAACAGACUGCAACACUGAAAUGAGAAACCCUGAAAUUACUGUACAAGGAGUCUACAGCUGGUGUUGCAUCAUCUGAACAGCAUUUCCUUCAGAAAAAAAUAUCUAAAGUCUUCAAAAUUGGCUUCAGUAUCUCCACCAAGAGCAACAGUAAAACUCUAUGGGCAAACAAGUAAAAUGCAUUGGACUUCUUUGAGUAAUGCAGCUGUGGAGACUAUCUGGGAGACUAAAACAAAUGAUGCCCUGAUAUAAUCAUAACAGAGCUGGAAGAAAGGCAAUCUCAGCAAAAAUCUUGACAGCAGAAUCUGCUCCUGUUUAAGUCUGACCUGUUCUUCCUGCAGAAGCAGCAUGACAGUAUGUUUUGCAAAAGAUUUGUAUUUAUAUGCUUGGCUGUCAGCUCUAAA